UACGUAGGGGGCAAGCGUUGUCCGGAUUUAUUGGGCGUAAAGAGCGUGUAGGCGGCCAAACAGGUCAGCUGUGAAAACUCGAGGCUCAACCUCGAGACGUCGGUUGAAACCGUUUGGCUAGAGUCCGGAAGAGGAGAGUGGAAUUCCCGGUGUAGCGGUGAAAUGCGCAGAUAUCGGGAAGAACACCCGUAGCGAAGGCGGCUCUCUGGGACGGUACUGACGCUGAGACGCGAAAGCGUGGGGAGCGAACAGG
rnacentral:rRNA from 1 species